rfam:Sulfolobus tokodaii str. 7 DNA, complete genome.
GCGGGGGUGCCCGAGCAAGGUCAAAGGGGGCGGUCCCUUAAAGGGGGCCUAAACUGAGGCUCCGCUGGCGAAGGCCUGCGUGGGUUCAAGUCCCACCCCCCGCA